rnacentral:rRNA from 1 species
UGGGGAAUAUUGGACAAUGGGGGCAACCCUGAUCCAGCCAUGCCGCGUGAGUGAUGAAGGCCCUAGGGUUGUAAAGCUCUUUCGCCGGUGAAGAUAAUGACGGUAACCGGUAAAGAAGCCCCGGCUAACUUCGUGCCAGCAGCCGCGGUAAUACGAAGGGGGCUAGCGUUGUUCGGAAUUACUGGGCGUAAAGCGCGCGUAGGCGGAUCUUUAAGUCAGGGGUGAAAUCCCGAGGCUCAACCUCGGAAUUGCCUCUGAUACUGGAGAUCUUGAGUCCGAGAGAGGUGAGUGGAACUCCGAGUGUAGAGGUGAAAUUCGUAGAUAUUCGGAAGAACACCAGUGGCGAAGGCGGCUCACUGGCUCGGUACUGACGCUGAGGUGCGAAAGCGUGGGGAGCAAACAGGAUUAGAUACCCCCGUAGUCC